UGAGAAUCAUCAUUCAAAAGUUUCUAUCCUCCAAAUAGCUUACGUCAUACCACUUAAGUAUCAAGUAGAGAAAAGUUUAAGUUCCCCAAACUAAAUUUUGUUUUUUUGGCUACUUAAUUUGAUUUUUGGCAAAAAUUAAAUUAAAGCAAUAUUUGGUAUUCUUGAUUAGAUAAAGAUCAUGGUAACUUGAACCUUGAGCAGAGAACAAGGUUUUGAAAGAUACUUAUUUUUAGAACAAUGCAUGAAAAUUUUC
rnacentral:lncRNA from 1 species